UUUGGUGAUGUGAUGUACCAAAAAACAGUAAUGGUUUUUAUUAUAGCAAAUGGCAGGAUUUAAACUGAUAAGCAUGCUGACCCUAUAUCACUGUGGAGAACCUCAACCUUCUUCAUGAAGCUUCACGCACAGCUCUGUCAGGUUCAGCACUGCACUGGAGCUGGGGUGACCCACUGGAGCCACACAGACACACAGCCUCUCAGAGAUGGGUGUGCCUUCCAAGAUGUCAAUCAACGUGUUGACUGCAAGAACCCAUGAAGCAAGACUCCACCUGCUGAAAUCUAAACCCUGCCUUUGUUGUACUCUCCCUUAAAUAAAGGACCAUUUUCUACUUAUUGGGUUCUAGCUCCCGCCAGGGCUGGAGGACCUAUCAGAUGCUCUGCUUCCUCUUUAUCUAA